rnacentral:rRNA from 1 species
GGUAUACAGCUCAGUAACACGUGGCUAACCUGCCCUUGGGACGGGAAUACCCCCGGGAAACUGGGGCUAAUUCUCGAUAGGCGAAGAACUCUGGAAUGAGUCUUCACUUAAAAGAGACUGCGUUAUGCUCGUAGUUUCGCCCAAGGAUGGGGCCGCGACCGAUCAGGUUGUUGGUGAGGUAAUGGCUCACCAAGCCUUUUACCGGUGCGGGCCGUGGGAGCGGGAGCCCGGAGAUGGGCACUGAGACAAGGGCCCAGGCCCUACGGGGCGCAGCAGUCGCGAAAACUUUGCAAUAAGCGAAAGCUUGACAGGGCUAUCCCGAGUGCCAUCCGCUGAGGAAGGCUUUUACCCAGUCUAGAACGCUGGGGGAAUAAGGAGAGGGCAAGUCUGGUGUCAGCCGCCGCGGUAAUAUCAGCUCUCCGAGUGGUGUGGAUGUUUAUAGGGCCUAAAGCAUCCGUAGCUGUCUAGUCUAGUCCCGUGUUAAAGCCGCCGAAUUAAUCGUUGGAUUGCGGGGUAUACUGCUUGGCUAGGGAACGAGAGAGCCAGACGGUAUUUCCGGGUUAGGGGUGAAAUCCUAUAAUCCCGGGAAGACCACCAGUGGCGAAGGCUGUCUGCUAGAACGCGCCCGACGGUGAGGGAUGAAAGCUGGGGGAGCGAACCGGAUUAGAUACCCGGGUAGUCCCAGCUGUAAACGAUGCAGGCUAGGUGUUUGGACGGCCACGUGCCGUUCUAGUGCCGCAGGGAAGCUGUUAAGCCUGCCGCCUGGGGAGUACGAUCGCAAGAUUGAACUUAAAGGCCA